rnacentral:tRNA from 4 species
UCCCCGGUAGCUCAGUCGGCAGAGCGGGUGGCUGUUAACCACUAGGUCGCAGGUUCGAGUCCUGCCCGGGGAGCCA